rnacentral:lncRNA from 1 species
GGGGCGGACAUCGGAACCAAGUCACUUGGUUGUGUCCGGUUCCACAAACUGCACGACAAGGUUGGAAUCGUCAACAUCGUCAACAUCAAGUUUCUUCUAUAGGAUUGAGGAGAUUGUUGUAGUAAAUCCUUUAGUUAGUGCAGUCGGCAGGUGGUGUGAACAUGCAGCUGCAAGUCAAGAUAAGCUGCCUAACUAGGAUAAGAUAAGAUCUCAGGAUAAUGUCAGGAUAGAUUUUAAUGUAGUCUCUAGUCUAAGGGCAGCUAGUUGCAUGCACUACUACAUGAGCUGAUUUUCACUAGUGUGUGUAUGUUUCGAUGAUAGCAUACUGUGAGUGAUAAUAGUAGUACAGCCUAUAAGUUCCUCUGUGCUUGAGCAUUGCCGCUGCUAGUAUUGUUCGAGACUGAGAAUACUAGCUAGUGAGGAGUUUCUCGGCUGACAACACUAUCUUUUGGAGUAAACUGGGAAGUACAUUAUCUAGCUAUAAAGAUGUAAUGAAUGUGGGAACGACAGUACAAUCACUUCACAGUGCCACCAAUUUUGUUCCUAUAAAUACGACAACAGUCGCCGCAGUUGAGGAUCGAAUUGAUAGUUCAACAUGACAGUGUGGCUUUAAAACUUGACGUAGUACAUAGGUGUGGGUGUGGCAAUGGGACGCAUCGGGAAUACGUGCAAUGUGUCCAAUUCACUAAACGAUUCCUCCGUUGAGGAUCCUGGGGUGCAUUCUUCGCAUUGGUGGAUUCGCCGUGGAGCUCAACAUCUAUCCCCGAUCUCUUCCGACCCCCCGACCCCGUUGCACACUCAUUCGACGCUGGUCGGCUCCUCCACCGGCUUCCAUGUG